AUGACGUCGUCUCCGAUUCCAACGAUGUAACGUCUGUUAUUGACAAUUAAAUCUGAGCAUUUACAUCAAUUAUACAACUCCUUCCACUCUCUAGAUUUUAAUCGAGCUUAUCAUCUUUCUAGGUAACGGCCAGAAUCUUCACCUAUAAAUGUGUUUUCAGCCAACGAUGAACGGCAUCCCAUAUACGAAAUCUGAAAACACGAUCCCUGCUACUCACCAACUCAACAAUCGCGCAAUCCUCUAUCUUACCUGGCGAUUUGAAAGCUAGCCACUGUACAAAUGCCACCGAGGUCCGUCUUCUGAGGUUUAGGGAGGCCAGGAAUGUGAAGAAAGGGCGAGAGUUAAUAGAAUUUGACCCUUAUCCAAAGGUCCGUCAGUGCCAACCGUCACAGCCCUUUCCUUGACGUUCAGUGUGGGAUCAUUUUAAACGUUCAGCAGUUUCGACGUCACAAGGAGCAACAACAAGUUCCGUCUGUCUGAGACUCCCCUCUCCAUACGCUUCAAUGAUGGGACGUCUUUUGUAGAGCUAACCGAUUCGGUGAAAUAAAUACCUACUGAACUGUUACGAUUUCAUAGACCAGCUACGUGCAUUGGCGAACACCAACAGACAACUACCUGGAGCACUAAUAACGAUACACACGGGUCGCAGCGCGUAAUGCUUACUCUUUGCAUAGAGAGUUAUAUCACCGUGGUCAUUAGCAUCUUUGAUGCCUUAGCCCUUGCAUUUUAUAACAAACUCGAGAGCUACGGGACGGAACCAACAAUUGUACUUGCCACCAGCAUAAAUCCGAAACUUGUUGGAGGUCGAUUUGUUAAUGUCACAUCUGGAACACACCUUUACUUCGACACGGAGACCGCUGUUGGAAAAGAAAAGAUUGACAAGCAAGUGACCCUCAUUCUAAUUAGAUAGAGACCACUUGGUUCACAUUAAGCAUGUUUCCAUCUGCUUUAAUUUAUUUUUUGACUGUCAUUCAACACUUAUCUCUUAAUAGGUUGACAGGUGAAGGCACAUAUGAGACAACAUCUUCAUCGAAGGUGGUAUAUGCACAGAAAGAAGCCCUGAUCGCUUCAGAGCUAAAGCAAUAUGUUAUCGCUGCCGACCCUCAGAUAAUUGAGUUUCUUUGACCGGAAUUCUGCCAGGCUUUGUUAAAGAUGAGGAUGAAGAGGUUCCUGAUGCUCAGCUUCCUGGAGUGAAUGCACUAGCUUCGAAUGGAGCUGCUGAUGAGAACUCCAAUGUUGCGCCCCACCAUCCAUGUCUGCUGAUCCAGCUGCCGAAGGUGAACCAUCAACCAAACAGCAACUUGAUCCGAGCCACAGUGGAUCCAAGAAGGCACGCUUGGCAUAAUUUCACGUAGAUACCUUUGAUAACCAUUGAAUACUUAUCACGUGGAUACCCUUAACAAAAGUAUUAAUGCUUUUGCAUCUUUUUCUACUUUUGUUUUCAACUCACUGUAGUGAUCAGUGUUUGAAUUAUUAAUGCAAGUUUAUUUUAUACAGGCAACAUUU